rnacentral:tRNA from 1 species
GCCGCUAUAGCUCAGUGGUAGAGCACACCCUUGGUAAGGGUGGGGUCGUAAGUCCGAUUCUUACUAGCGGGC